rnacentral:rRNA from 1 species
AGUGAACGCUGGCGGUAUGCCUAACACAUGCAAGUCGAACGGUAGCACAGUAAGAUCUUGCUCGUACGGGUGGCGAGUGGCGGACGGGUGUGGCAUACAUCUGAAUCUCCUUUUUCGUGGGGGUUAACGUAUGGAAACUUACGCUAAUACCGCAUACGACCUACGGGUGAAUGCAGGGGAUCUUCGGACCUUGCGCGAUUGAAUGAGCCGAUGUCGGAUUAGCUAGUUGGCGGGGUACAGGCCCACCAAGGCGACGACUCGUAGCUGGUCUGAGAGGAUGAUCAGCCACACUGGAACUGAGACACGAUCCAGACUCCUACGGGAGGCAGCAGUGGGGAAUAUUAGACAAUGGGUGGAAGCCUGAUCCAGCGAUACCGCGUCGGUGGAGAAGGCCUUCGGGUUGUAAAGCCCUCUUGUUGGGAAAGAAAAGCAGCCGGUUAAUACCCCGCUGUGCUGACGGUACCCAAAGAAUAAGCACCGGCUAACUUCGUG